AACGAACGCUGGCGGCAUGCCUAACACAUGCCAGUCGAACGAACCCUUCGGGGUUAGUGGCGCACGGGUGCGUAACACGUGGGAAUCUGCCCUUUGCUUCGGAAUAACAGUUAGAAAUGACUGCUAAUACCGGAUAAUGUCGCAAGACCAAAGAUUUAUCGGCAAAGGAUGAGCCCGCGUAGGAUUAGCUUGUUGGUGGGGUAAUGGCCCACCAAGGCGACGAUCCUUAGCUGGUCUGAGAGGAUGAUCAGCCACACUGGGACUGAGACACGGCCCAGACUCCUACGGGAGGCAGCAGUGGGGAAUAUUGGACAAUGGGCGAAAGCCUGAUCCAGCAAUGCCGCGUGAGUGGUGAAGGCCUUAGGGUUGUAAAGCUCUUUUACCAGGGAUGAUAAUGACAGUACCUGGAGAAUAAGCUCCGGCUAACUCCGUGCCAGCAGCCGCGGUAA
rnacentral:rRNA from 1 species